GGUAUGCUUAAAGAGGGGCUUGCGUCACAUUAGUUAGUUGGCAGGGUAAAAGCCUACCAAGACUAUGAUGUGUAGCUGGACUGAGAGGUUGAACAGCCACAUUGGGACUGAGACACGGCCCAAACUCCUACGGGAGGCAGCAGUAGGGAAUUUUCGGCAAUGGAGGAAACUCUGACCGAGCAACGCCGCGUGAACGAUGAAGUAUUUCGGUAUGUAAAGUUCUUUUAUUGAAGAAGAAAAAAUAGUGGAAAAACUAUCUUGACGAUAUUCAAUGAAUAAGCCCCGGCAAACUAUGUGCCAGCAGCCGCGGUAAUACAUAGGGGGCGAGCGUUAUCCGGAAUUAUUGGGCGUAAAGGGUGCGUAGGCGGUUUAAUAAGUCUAUAGUUUAAUUUCAGUGCUUAACACUGUCCUGCUAUAGAAACUAUUAGACUAGAGUGAGAUAGAGGCAAGUGGAAUUCCAUGUGUAGCGGUAAAAUGCGUAAAUAUAUGGAGGAACACCAGAGGCGUAGGCGGCUUGCUGGGUCUUUACUGACGCUGAGGCACGAAAGCGUGGGGAGCAAACAGGAUUAGAUACCCUGGUAGUCCACGCCGUAAACGAUGAGUACUAAGUGUCGGGAUUACUCGGUACUGAAGUUAACACAUUAAGUACUCCGCCUGAGUAGUACGUACGCAAGUAUGAAACUUAAAGGAAUUGACGGGACUCCGCACAAGCGGUGGAUCAUGUUGUUUAAUUCGAAGAUACACGAAAAACCUUACCAGGUCUUGACAUACUCUGCAAAGCUAUAGCAAUAUAGUGGAGGUUAUCAGGGAUACAGGUGGUGCAUGGUUGUCGUCAGCUCGUGUCGUGAGAUGUUAGGUUAAGUCCUAAAACGAGCGCAACCCUUGUCAUUAGUUGCCAGCAUGUCAUGAUGGGCACUUUAAUGAGACUGCCAAUGAAAAAUUGGAGGAAGGUGAGGAUCACGUCAAAUCAUCAUGCCCCUUAUGAUCUGGGCUACAAACGUGAUACAAUGGGCUGUUACAAAAGAGUAGCUGAAACGUAAGUUUUAUAGCCAAUCUCAUAAAAGCAGUCUCCAGUUCGGAUUGAAGUCUGCAACUCCACUUCCUGAAGUUGGGAAUCGCUAGUAAAUCGCGAAUCAGCAUGUCCCCGGUGAUACGUUCCUCGGGGUUUGUACCCCCCC
rnacentral:rRNA from 1 species